UUUGUUAAUUUUUAAAUAUUUUUGAAUUCACACCUCUUUUAUUUAAUGAAACAGGCCGCAUUCUAUUUUCAGAGAUCCGUUUAAGAGGGGCAAUAGCAUCCUUGUGAGUGCAAUUUUGUUCCCUUAUAUCUUUCCACUUGAUAUCGCCACCACAGCUUGAUGUCAUUCUCUCCGAUGUUGAUGUUUAUUGGAUUAGUCAUAUGAGAAGCUUGAACUCCAGAUGUUGUUGCUGAAGGGCUCUGGAAUGAUCUUGAGCAAGAAUACAUCUUGCUGCAGAACUAUGUUAAAUGGCCUAUUGGUUGGUCUCUUGGUGGUUAUCCUGGUCCUCGGGGACCAUACUACUGUGGUGUUGGUGUUGACGAAGCCUUCGGCAUUGUUGAUGCACAGUAGACGGCAUGCCUGUAUGCCGGUAUGAACAUUAGUGGUAUGAACGGAGAAGUGAUGUCGGGCGAGUGGAAAUUUCAAGCUGACCUUCAGUCGGUAUCUCUGUUGGAGAUGAAUUAUGGGCUGCAGCUCGGUACAAUCUGGAGAGGAUUACUGAGGUUGCUGGAGUUGUGCUUUCAUUCGAUCCUAAAGCCAAUUCAGGUCAAUUUUUAUUUCAUCGUACCCUACUGGAUGCUGCCAGUGUGCAUGUUUUCAGUACUUUUAUCGUCUGAGCUCUCAGGAAAUUAGACUUCUGUUUUGUCAAGAAGAUUGGAAAGGAGCGGGGUGUUAGAGAAUAAUAUAAAUCAUAUC